AAAAAAAAAAAAAAUCUUAAAUUUAAAAAAGUGAAAUCGAACACACCCAACAAUUUGCCUAAUUUGAUAAUCGCAACCAAACAGCUGCUAUUUCUUCCAACUGCUGGACGGAAGGAAAAAGCUCUGAAACAAAACCCUAACCCUCGAUUUGCCGUAACAACAAUGGCCAGCGACACCUAUCCCUCCAGCCGCAAGCAGCGCCGAUUGCCCCCAGACGAUGAAGCGGAGAAGUCCUCGAAGCGACACAAACACCGACAUCAUCACCAUCACCGCUCCCACCGCAGCAAGAAGCACGGUGAGGAAAGUAAACAUGCUGGCGAUGAAACCGCUUCUUCUCCUCCGAUGAAUCCUGUUGCUGCUAAUGAUAAUAGGCUUGAUGAUGACGUGGAGGAAGGCGAGAUUUUGGAGGAAGAGGGUUCUGGUGGUGUUAGUGUAAGGGCCAUCGAAUUACGCGAGGAAAAAAUUGAUUCCCAAAAUCUGGGAGUACAUGCUGACAAUAGUGGCAAUGCUUUAACUAAUUCUUACAAUGCUAACAAGUUUGACAGUAAGGUUAAUUUGCCCAAAGAUCCUAGAGCUGAGGUUCAAGAUGAAUUAGUUUAUAGAGAUAAGCUUGCGGUUCAUACCAAUGGAGAUAUGGGUCAUGAAUAUCACACAGCAGGCAAGAAACGGCAUGCAGAGUCUGGUUCUUCUAAAGGAAGUCACAAGCAAAAGAAUUACCGUGAUGCUGAUACACCUGAGGGUGCUGAAAGCAAAUUAGGUGAUUGGGGUAAUUCAUCAUCUUCUGAAAGUGGGAGGGAUAAAAACAAGACUAUGACAGGCUCAGCAUCUCAUGAUAGGUACCAUGAUGAGGAAAUUCCUAGGAGAAGAUCAUUGUCACAUGAUUUUGCUAGGGAGAGAUCUCGUUUCCACAGCAUAGUACAAGAGGAGGUUCUUUUGAAGAGAGGGCAACACAAUGGAAGGGCUGAAAAUUUUUCUGAUGAUGAAAGAAUGUCUAGACGUGAUAGGGACCUGAAGCAUGUUAGUAAAGAUUUAGAAAGGGAGCACAGUACCAGUUACAGCAGAAGUCUAGGAGGUGGGGACAGGCAUAGAAGCAGGGAUGCAUGUGGCAGAGAGGUGACCAGGGAGAAGGACAACUGGGAAUGGAGAAGGGAUCAGGUACGAGAGAGAAGCAUGGACAGGGAUCAGAGAAGAGAGAAAGAUGGAGAGAGGAGGAGAGACAGGGAUCUGAGAAGAGAGAUGGAACAGGACAGGAGUAGGGACAAGUAUGUGAGUAGAGAUAAGGAAAGGGAGAGGAGCCGGGACAGUGAUAUAAGAAGAGAGAAGGAAAGGGAGAGGAGCUGGGACAGGGAUGUGAGAAGAGAGGAGGAAAGGGAGAGGAGCAGGGACUGGGAUAUGAGAAGAGAGAUUGAAAGGGAGAGGAGCAAGGACAGAGAGAUGGACAGGGAUCGGAGAAGAGAGAGGCAACGAGAGAGAAGCAUGGACAG
rnacentral:misc_RNA from 1 species